CUGGCAUCUAGUGGGUAGAGGCCAGAGAUGCUGUUAAACAUCUUGUAAUGCACAAGACAGCCCCCCAAGACAAUUAUCUGGCCAAAAGUAUUGACAGCCUGGAACUGGAGAAACCCUGAUCUAAUGGCAUGCAGGCUCUUCCAUGAAAAGACUGAGCUUCUGGUGGAUCAUCAUUUGUAUUACUUACUGGGGCCUGUGUAAGCAGUGAACCAAGGAUCGGGUGCCUGAUUCCCAAAUCUGCCUUCACGAGUAACUUGCCAGUGAACUUGAGCGUCUCAUUCUCCAUCUGCCCGGUGCAGUGAUGAUGCUUGCCAAGCAGUCUCACAGGGUUCUGUUCUUUAUCCUGUGCCUGAGGUUGGACCCGAGGAAAAUUAGCCCACCUCUUUGCUUCUCGGAUACCUCGGAACGAUUAGCCCUGAAUAUAGGAGCUGUACGCCUUAGAAAUGGGAGUAGACCCUGGGCCCUUCUAGAUUGUUUCUAGAAAUAGGCUCAGUCUUCAGAUGCAGGCCUCACCAGAGCCCUUCCUUGGCAGCCUGCCUGUCCCGGUAGGGGAAGUGGUCCCUGGGAGAGGGAGCUAGUCUCGGAGACAGUUUGUCUGCCUUCUCUCCGAAGCUUCCUGUGUAUGGGAAAUGAAUAGAUCCCAUGCACACCCUCCCUCCUUGGCAGGCUACUCCUUGCCCUCCCUGUGAGGUUCCAGGAGCCCGUGACAUUAUCUGCAAACUCCCAUGAGAGGCUCCAGACCAUGGCCGUGAGCCCCGAGAAUGAUGAAUAUGCAGGAAGGGACGGUGUGCCAGACAGGGAAGCCAGGGCUGGGCGGGGGCAACCAUGCAGGGCGAGGGAGCCAGGGCUGGACUGGUGGGGAGGGGCUCCCAGGGUCCGAGCACCCUUGGAGAGGGCCCCAUCACUGGCAGGCCCAUUUGCCCUCCUAAAGAGCUAGAAGCUGCCAUUUGUACGUCCGCAUUCUCCAGAGCUGUGGACUCUGGAGUCUUAGAAAUCCUCCUGGCGGCUGAGCCUCCCACUGGCCGCAAUUAACCUGUUCAAUACUAGGUCAGCAACUUUGCAGAGGAUGUUUGCUGAUGGCAUUCUACUGGGUGCACUGGUACUGUUGACUCCGGUCCACAGAAAGCCUGACACGUCCCUUGUGGCAGACGAAAGCUAGGAGCAAAUUCUGCCUGCAUCACAGAAUCCUUAGGCUGAGUGUGACAUUUGGAGGUCACCUGGUCCAUCCCUGUGCCUGCAGGCAGGCCUGGACAUAAACCGGCCUAGACAGAUGAGAAUCUGUUCUCUCUCUCUGCCUUCAAAAACCUAAGGACAUUUCAUGUAUCCCUUAGUGUCCAAUAUCCCUCAGCCCUGAGACUGUUCCUAGAGCUCAUCUGUAUUCCAGGGGUUCUCUGAUAGGUGUCUCAAGGCAGAGGUGAGGAACAACCCAUCGUGUGCUGUAUGCAGUGGGUGCUACAGUGUGUUCCCACGGGCUUCUCAGAGCCCACCAUGCACACGUCUCUCUUCCAACUCAGGGUUCCGUGAUAUCACGUUGGUAGUUUGUGGUCAGCCACGGGACAAGUAUUUACACCACGGAAAUUGGCAAACACUGCCAAUGAGGAGCAGCCUUUUCCCCCCAGAGGACAAGUUGCUCAACAUUCGCUAGCACACAACUAGUUGUAUACAGCAAUACUCCUGCACAGAACUUGGGUAACAGUCAUCCUCUGUACCCUUCACCUUAGUGUCUUGAAGCUCCCUCACUGGCGGGACCAUAAUUUCCCCGGAGCAGAGGCUGUGCCUUGCAGGGGACUUUUUUUCCAGCAGCUUGCAUGGUGCCCGUUUGCCAAAGGAAUGAAGGACACAUAUCAAAUCAUCAGGCUGAGUGGCUGUGGGUUUUCGUUGUCUUAGGACUCAUGCACUCACACUGUUUGAGUCAGAUUGGCCAAACAGGAGGUACAUUUAUCUGACUUGACUUCAGAGUUGUACCAUUUAAUUCAAGCAGGAUUAAUGAAACAUCUACUCUAUGCUCACCCUGUCCUAGGCUCUGGAGCCCGGGAGAAGGGGAAGUUUAUGGGCACCAGCGUCCCAUCCCUCCUAUUCUCAAAUGACUUACACUUUGAUUUGGAAGAUAGGCAUACGAGCAGACAGUUAGAAAUCAAUAGAGAUAUCUUUGAAGGUUGUGCCUGAUGGAUUUGGGGUGGUCAUAAAACACAGCAGUAAGAACAUGGGACACUGGGGUCAGGUUGCCUGUGUUCGAAUUCCAUUAGUAGUUAUGUGACCUUGGAAGGCUUAACACCCCCGGCCUUGCCACCCCCCCACUCCCACAACUCAGAUUCCUCAUUCUAAGGAUAUAAUGAGAUCUAUCUCAUAGAGGAGUUAUCAGAGUCAGUGCAUUCAUGUUUAGAAACCACUUAGCACAUUGCCUCGGAUACAGCGGGUAUAAAAUAUAUAGUAGUUAUUAUUUGUAUCUUACAGUCUAAUGGCCUCUUUUUAAAAAUGAAUACAUUGAGGCCCAGGAGUGGGAAAAUGACUAUUCGCCAAUUAGUGGCAGGCCUGAGAUUAGCAGCAGUAACUAACUUUAUCGAUAUAGGGGAAGGGACACGCCACAGUAACAAAUCUAUCCCCAAUCUCUAUGCCUUUGCACAAUAAAUGUGACUGUCCGUGCAAAGGCAGAGGCAGACAAGGCGACCCUGCCCCAUUCUGUAGCUGCACCUGCUGGAGCCCAUGGUCUCCAAGGCCACCGCAGCAGGGGCAGACAGAGGUGGAGGAGGUGUGCCAGCUGCUUUGGCCAGUCCAUUGGUCAGAACCAGUUACGUGGCCCCCGCCCAAGAGUGUCUGGGGGCGCAGCCUGACGUGAGGUUAUUUGGUGAACACAGCGCAUGCCACGCUAACAGUACAGAAGAUAUCCCAAGGUGGCAUAUGAUUAAGUGCUUAAUAGUGGACAGAUACUCUGUGCGACAGUCUGUGAUUAAGUAGCCCGGUGAGGGGUACAUACAAGUGCGGCAGCAGAUUAGGGAAGGGGCAGAUAAGGAAGGACAAGAGGGCUGAGCAUCAUUUGCUGAAGAACUAGCACUAGCUCAGCACUCUAGCACUAGAACAAGACCUAAAGGGCGGGUAGAACCAGGAGCUGCAGAGAGGAGGGGUCCCCCCUCAAAGCGGCAUCUCCUGCAGUGGUGAUCCUGCUGUCGACCCCCCAGUCACCAGGAGUCGCGGUGGAGGCAGAAGGAGGUGGGCCCUGAUCGCUGGCAACUCCCCAGACCUCAGGCUCCUGGAGAAACUAGCACAGAGCUCAGCUUCCUUCGUAGGUCCUGAAAUAAAGGCUUCCCGGUGGAGCACAGUGUGGUAGAAAGAGGGCUGGGUGCAGAAUCAACAAAUGCAGAUUUCCUGUUGUUCCCACUUCCGCCUCUGACUCCUGUGUGACUUUGCACAGCCUCUCCACCUCUCUGGGCUGCGGUCCUUAUUGGUGAGAUGCAGAGUUCCCUCAGGCCCUUGACAGAUCUGAUUCUCCAGGACUCUGGGCUUCUCGCAGCCAGCGUUUAUAGGAUUAACUGGGGGUUAAAUAUUUGGAGGGCUAGUCUGGGGCUCUCCUCUGGGGGAAAGAUCCAAAGAGGAAAGGAAUUCGCCAGGGCUCUGGCCGCUUAGAGGGUGAACAGGACGGAACAUGGCGUACGCAAAUCUUUGGUGAGGGGCCAACCUUCCAUCAGAACGGAGCCGGGAUACAGAGGCAGCCCCGGAAGCUGGGCCCAGCCGCAUAAAUCUUAGCACUGGCAUAUCAAUCAGUCAGUUCAAUCGGCUACAAUACUUUUUUCUUUUGGAAAUAAAUAAAGAUGAAGGCAAGAGAUACCACCCAAAGAGGAAACCCCAGAGCAGUGUGGAUAGUCACAUGGCCACCGAAUCCCGGAGCCGGACUCUGAUUAAUGGAGCAGGCUGGCUUUGAUAAAUCAGGUACCUCCAUCCAGUGGGUUUAGGCUCUUGUUUUCUAAAUGGGAACUUAAUGCUGUUCACUCAUUCAUAGGUAGGAUGCUGUGUCAGAAAGUUAAUAUAUAAAUCUGUUAUUUACAAGGGU